GAUGGACGCUGGCGGCGUGCCUAAUACAUGCAAGUCGAGCGAACGGACGAGAAGCUUGCUUUUCUGAUGUUAGCGGCGGACGGGUGAGUAACACGUGGAUAACCUACCUAUAAGACUGGGAUAACUUCGGGAAACCGGAGCUAAUACCGGAUAAUAUUUUGAACCGCAUGGUUCAAAAGUGAAAGACGGUCUUGCUGUCACUUAUAGAUGGAUCCGCGCUGCAUUAGCUAGUUGGUAAGGUAACGGCUUACCAAGGCAACGAUGCAUAGCCGACCUGAGAGGGUGAGCGGCCACACUGGAACUGAGACACGGUCCAGACUCCUACGGGAGGCAGCAGUAGGGAAUCUUCCGCAAUGGGCGAAAGCCUGACGGAGCAACGCCGCGUGAGUGAUGAAGGUCUUCGGAUCGUAAAACUCUGUUAUUAGGGAAGAACAUAUGUGUAAGUAACUGUGCACAUCUUGACGGUACCUAAUCAGAAAGCCACGGCUAACUACGUG
rnacentral:rRNA from 1 species